rnacentral:rRNA from 1 species
UUUAAGGUUUAGCCUGCCCAAUGAGGAUUUAAAUGGCCGCAGUAAUUUGACUGUGCAAAGGUAGCAUAAUCAUUAGUUUUUUAAUUGAAAGCUGGUAUGAAAGGCUGGACGAGAAAAGUUCUGUCUCAAGUGAAUUUUAAUUAGAAUUUUAUUUUUAAGUUAAAAAGCUUAGAUUUUUUUAAAAGACGAGAAGACCCUAUAGAGUUUAAUAUUUAUGUUAAUUUAACUUUUUGGGGAUAAUUUUGGUUAUAUUAUAUUAAUUAUUUUAUUGGGGUGAUAGUAAAAUUUAUUAAACUUUUAUUUGUUUAUAACAUUUAUUUAUGUUUAUUUGAUCCAUUUUGUGAUUAUAAGAUUAAAUUACCUUAGGGAUAACAGCGUUAUUUUUUUUGAGAGUUCUUAUCGAAAAAAAAGUUUGCGACCUCGAUGUUGGAUUAAAAUUAACUUUUGGUGUAGGGGCUAAAAGGUUAGGUCUGUUCGACCUUUAAAAUUUUACAUGAUCUGAGUUUAAACCGGUGUGAGCCAGGUUGGUUUCUAUCUUUAAAAUUAUUAUAUGUUUUAGUACGAAAGGAUUAAACAUAUAUAAUAUUUAUUUUAUGUUUGAAUAUUAUUA